rnacentral:rRNA from 1 species
CCUACGGGAGGCAGCAGUGGGGAAUAUUGCACAAUGGGGGAAACCCUGAUGCAGCGACGCCGCGUGAGCGAUGCAGUAUUUCGGUAUGUAAAGCUCUAUCAGCAGGGAAGAAACAGACGGUACCUGAGUAAGAAGCCCCGGCUAACUACGUGCCAGCAGCCGCGGUAAUACGUAGGGGGCAAGCGUUAUCCGGAUUUACUGGGUGUAAAGGGAGCGUAGACGGCGAAGAAAGUCUGAAGUGAAAGCCCGCGGGUUAACCGCGGAACUGCUUUGGAAACGUUUUUGCUGGAGUACCGGAGAGGUAAGGGGAAUUCAUAGUGGAGGGGGGAAAAGCGGUGGUAAUAGGAGGAA